rnacentral:lncRNA from 1 species
UUUUUGUUUUUUUUUUGAGACAGAGUCUCGCUCUGUUGCCCAGGCUGGAGUGCAGUGGUGCGAUCUCGGCUCACUGUAAGCUCCGCCUCCCGGGUUCCCACCAUUCUCCUGCCUCAGCCUCCCGAGUAGCUGGGACUACAGGUGCCCACCACCAUGCCCGGCUAAUUUUUUGUAUUUUUAGUAGAGACGAGGUUUCACCAUAUUAACUAGGAUGGUCUCGAUCUCCUCACCCCAUGAUCCGCCGCCUCGGCCUCCCAAAGUGCUGGGAUUACAGGCGUGAGCCACUGCGCCCAGCCCAUUUUAGUUGUUUUUAUUUUUACUUUUUCAAGAGACUAACAUCUGUCACUCAGGCUGGAGUGCAGUGGUGCAAUCAUUGCUCACUGCAGUGUUGAACUCCUGGGCUCAAGCGAUCCUCUUGCCUCAGCCUCCUAAGUGGUUGGGACUGCAGGCAUGUACCACUACACUCAGCUAAUUUAAUUUUUUUGUUUUUUAAGAAAUGGGGUCUGGCUAUGUUGCCCAGGCUGGUCUUGAACUCCUGGCCUCAAGCAAUCUUCCCACCUUGGCCACCCAAAGUGCUGAGAUUACAGGUGUGAGCCACCACAUCUGGCCAGUCCCUGCAUUUUAGAGACUGAGCAGAGCUGUCUGUGACAGGAAAUAAUGUUGCCAAUAAACCGCAAGGGCUCUGUGCAAAUAGAUGACUGUGUUAACAAGAGGGAGUAAACAUGACCUUCGCUAAUGGAUUUGCGAAUGGUUGCUUCUGGUCACUGGCUAUUAGAAUGCAUACACUCAACUGGUCCCUUAGCCCCACCUGUCACACCUGCCCUGGGUUCAGCCUUUGGGUCCUUGCACCCCUUGGGUCCCUGAAACAGCCCAUAGCAUUGUGCUAUGCACAGCAUGCCUCGCCUCUGAGAUAGGCAGGCAGAGGGCGACUGCUCCAGUACACAGAGGAGAAAACAGAGGCCGAAAGUGGGCAAAGGACGUGCUGGUGGGUGAUACGGGUGGGAUUUAAACCCAGGGCCUCUGUCUUCACAAUCCACCGUGUGGCUUGUCUAGGAAUAAGAGACUGCUGAGGAUGUGGGAGGGCCAGGGAUUCUCAGGAUGCUGUGUGCAGAGUCCUGCAGCACAGGGGAAGGAGGACCCACAGGUAGGAGGGCAGAGCAGGCUGGAAUCCACCUCUGCCGGCCUCUGAGGUCCUUGCUCUCACUCUCUAGGGGUCCAAGGCAGUGCAGUAUCCCUUUAGUCAAUGUAGGGCCUCAUGAAAACAAAUGGGGUCCUUUAUGUCUUCAGACUGGUGCACCCUCCCCACCCCAGCUGGGACAUUUGCCAAACCCCAGGGUGGCCUGUGCAUCCGCCAGGAGGGCAAGAGGGGGUUUUUUCCAACUUGAUGCCCACUCCUGCAGAGAGGCACAUGUGUGAACACAGACAUGUUGCUUAUUAAGGCCUGGGGCCUCCCAGGCCAAGCAGAAGAGUGCCCUGCCCCCAUGGGGACCUCAGUCCAUGGGGCGCACACUCAGGUAGGGGUGUUAUGGGUGAGGCCCCCACAGCCCAGGGUGAGCCGAUGGCUGAGAGCACAGCACAGUUAAGGUCCCCCAUCCCAGACAAUGGCAUCCUGGAAUUGAGGGGUGCCUGAGGUCAGGCUUAGCUAAUUCCAGGCAUGCAGUGGACUGGUUUAUUAAAUUACACUUUACUCCCCAAUAGUAGGCCCCUUCCCCUACUGCCUUGUAGCCCUUGGCUUCUCUGUUUCAUUUCUCUCUGGGACCAAGUUCUUACCUUCAAAUUGAGUCUCACCAUGGACAUAAAUACUGUCCCUUCAC